GCUGGGCGCGGUGGCUCACGCCUGUAAUCCCAACAGUUUGGGAUGCCGAGGUAGGCAGAUUGCUUGAGCUCAGGAGUUCGAGAGUAGCCUGGGCAACAUGGUGAACCUUUGUGUCUACCAAAACUACAAAAUCUUAGCUGGGCAUGGGGAUGUACAUCUGUGGUCCCAGCUACUUAGGAUGCUGAGGAGAGAGGAUCGCUUGAGCUCAGAGCAGAGGUUGCAGUAAGCCAAGAUUGCACCACUGCACUUCAGCCUGAGCAACAGAGUGAGGCCCUAUCUCAU
ensembl:misc_RNA Metazoa_SRP Metazoan signal recognition particle RNA